GACGUAGGGGGCCAGCGUUGUUCGGAAUUACUGGGCGUAAAGGGUUCGUAGGCGGUGCGGCAAGGUGGGAGGGAAAUCUCUGGGCUUAACCCAGAGGCUGCUUCCAAAACUGCUGUGCUUGAGUGUGGGAGAGGCGCGUGGAAUUGCAGGUGUAGCGGUGAAAUGCGUAGAUAUCUGCAGGAACACCCGUGGCGAAAGCGGCGCGCUGGACCACUACUGACGCUGAGGAACGAAAGCUAGGGGAGCAAACAGG
rnacentral:rRNA from 1 species